UGUGUAGGCGGGACUGCAAGUCAGGUGUGAAAUUUAUGGGCUCAACUCAUAACUUGCACUUGAAACUGUGGUUCUUGAGGGUCGGAGAGGUAACUGGAAUUCCUGGUGUAGCGGUGAAAUGCGUAGAUAUCAGGAGGAACACCGGUGGCGAAGGCGGGUUACUGGACGAAACCUGACGCUGAGACACGAAAGUGUGGGGAGCAAACA
rnacentral:rRNA from 1 species